UGAGUAUGGCUUCGAUUUGAUUAAACAAA
rnacentral:sRNA from 1 species